AGUCGAGCGAGGUAGCAAUACCUAGCGGCAGACGGGUGAGUAACAUGUGGGAAUCUGCCUUUUGGUUCGGAACAACACGGGGAAACCUGUGCUAAUACCGGAUAAGUCCUAACGGAGAAAGUUUUAAUGCCAAAAGAUGAGCCCGCAUUUGAUUAGCUAGUUGGUAAGGUAAAAGCUUACCAAGGCGACAAUCAAUAGCUGAUUUGAGAGGAUGAUCAGCCACACUGGGACUGAGAUACGGCCCACACUCCUACGGGAGGCAGCAGUGGGGAAUCUUGCACAAUGGGCGAAAGCCUGAUGCAGCGAUGCCGCGUGAGUGAAGAAGGCCUUUGGGUUGUAAAGCUCUUUUGUCGGGAAAGAUAAUGACUGUACCCGAAGAAUAAGGUCCGGCUAACUUCGUGCCAGCAGCCGCGGUAAUACGAAGGGACCUAGCGUAGUUCGGAAUUACUGGGCGUAAAGAGUAUGUAGGCGGCUAGAUAAGUUAAUUGUGAAAGCCCAAAGCUUAACUUUGGAAUUGCAAUUAAAACUAUUUAGCUGGAGUAUGAUAGAGGAAAGCGGAAUACAUAGUGUAGAGGUGAAAUUCGUAGAUAUUAUGUAGAACACCAGUUGCGAAGGCGGCUUUCUGGAUCAUUACUGACGCUGAAAUACAAAAGUAUGGGUAGCGAAAAAGAUUAAAAACCCUCGUAGCCCAUACCCUAAACGAUGAUUAUUAGAUGUGGGGAAAUAAUUUCUCUGUAUCAUAGCUAAACGCGUUAAAAAAACCCCCUGGGGGAGUACCACCGCCAAGGUUAAAACUCCAAUGA
rnacentral:rRNA from 1 species